UACGUAGGGUCCGAGCGUUGUCCGGAAUUAUUGGGCGUAAAGGGCUCGUAGGCGGUUCGUCACGUCGGGAGUGAAAACUCGGGGCUUAACCCCGAGCCUGCUUCCGAUACGGGCAGACUAGAGGUAGGCAGGGGAGAGCGGAACUCCUGGUGUAGCGGUGGAAUGCGUAGAUAUCGAGAGGAACACCUGCGGCGAAGGCGGGUGCUGGGCUGACACUGACGCUGAUGUGCGAAAGCUAGGGGGAGCGAACGGG
rnacentral:rRNA from 1 species